AUCCGCCAUCUGUGGUGGAGCCACCGCCAAGAUGCAGAUUUUCGUGAAAACCCUUACCGGGAAGACCAUCACUCUCGAGGUUGAACCCUUGGAUACAAUAGAAAAUGUAAAGGCCAAGAUCCAGAAUAAGGAAGAAAUUCCUCCUGAUCAGCAAAGACUGACCUUUGCUGGCAAGCAACUGGAAGAUGGACGUACUCUGUCUGACUACAACAUUCAAAAGGAGUCCACGCUUCAUCUUGUGUUGCUAAGAAAAGGAAAUCUUAUACCACUCCCCAGAAGAAUAAGCAUACGAGACAGAAGCUUAAGCUGGCUGUUCUGAAAUACUGUAAGGUGGAUGAGAAUGGCAAAAUGAGCCGCCUUGGUUGGGAGUGCCCUUCAGAUGAAUGUGGUGCUGGAGUUUUUACCGCCAGCCACUUUGACAGACAUUAUUGUGGCAAAUGUUGUCUAAUCUAUUGUUUCAAUAGACAAGUCAUUAUAUAUGGGUUAAUAAAAGACAUGAACUACAAAAAAAAUCUAUGA